ensembl:snRNA U6 U6 spliceosomal RNA
GCUUGUUUCAGCAUCGCAUAUACCCAAACUAGGAUGAUACAGAGAAGAUUAGCAUGGCCUCUAUAGCAUGACAUGCAAAUUCAUGAAAUACUCAUGUUUUUA